CCUGGUCAUAACGUUGUCCAUUUUUCGCGGCGACUCGUCGCUCUCCCACUUCCAAAUCACCUUUCGAGGAAUGGACUCGAUCACGUUCAGAAUCGCGUCCAGCUUCUCCUUCGGCAUGGUCGUCGAUUUAAUCAUGGAGCCGAGGCUGAAGUAGAGCACUCCUUCGUCAUUCGCGCUAUCGAGGAAUUUGGCGAUGUCCUUUGGUACCGGAUUGACCUUGGGCGGAAUGUGAAGGCCACCGACUUCGAUCACGUUCGGCAGUUGGGGUCUGCUGCCAUGAAAGCUGUUGUGGGUGUUCACCAGCAACGCUCUCGACUGCCGAGCGAUUUCACUAAGCUCAGGAAGAUCCGGACCGAACACUUCGUUGGCGAUGGCUUGAUCGGCGGGCCGGAACCAAUAAUCGUAAGCUGCGUUAAACAACAGCAAUGUCACGGCGUUUUUCAUUCUGUCGAUGAGAUCCAUGGGCCUGGUGAGGCCGAAAAAUAUAUUCGGGAUGUAACUGGGAUUGUCCUCGUUGCCCAUGUCCUCGUUGGUCCAAGGCAUGAUCUGGUGUGACGAGAGGGCCAGGUAGGGCGCUUUGAAAUGAUGAAUGAAGCCCAGGAAGCAGUCGGUGUUGAAGUUCUCCGUGAGGAUCACGUCGAAUUUCUCGUCGCGUCGAAGGAACUCCGUGAUCAGUGGGUGUCGCAGACCAGUCUGGCACGCGAAAUCAGCCAUGGACCUCAACAAAAGAAGCUGGGUCGCUAGGAAAAAGCGCGAAUGACUGACUUGAUGAAGAUCCACAACGUUGACGUAGACACCCACCUUAGGAUCCACCAAACUGAUGUCCUUGUAAUUAGGCAGCGGUUCCUUCGCCUUGGCGCUGUCAGUUCGCGGAAAGUACGAGAUCACGGUGAUUUCGUGACCAUGGCGAGCCAAUUCCUCCAGAAGCGGCUUGAACACGUCGAAGUGACUCUUCCCGAGAUGUCCGAAAACACUCAGUAUCUUGAAUUUCGACUUGUCUGUAUUUACAAACUUGGUCUCGUUGACGGCUGAACAAUACGUCGAGGACACGACGACGAGAAGAAGAACGACGUGCGAGUAUAUCCGCCACAUGUCGCGAAUUUGCAUAUUGGAAAUGAGUAUCUAAUUUACGCCGGCGUGCAGUCAAUCAAUCUAUCUGCCUGUUCGCCCGAUGUGUGUCUAUACCCAACUGCUUGAGUUCAGUGCCUAUUCGACGAUAAUCAACACAUAUACGCUUCCAAUAUGUCGACGCAGCGGUAGGGAUUCAGGUUCCCCACGAAUUCUCUUGCGGAAAUAUUCCACGACAGUGACUAAUUGCGAGAUAAAGAUAAAAUUGCAAUUAAGUAAUAACGCUUGAUCCAAUAAAUCGCUCGUACAAUAAAAAUUUAUUAGCGUGAUCCUCGCAUUUUUAUGCGAUUAUCAAUUUUAUUAAAUCUAUAGGUUUAGAAUUUUCGAAAAUAGGUUUAAUAUAUUAGAAAACUAGUAGCUAUUAAUAUUAAUAAAAUGAUAAAAUUAAUAAUGUCAAUAUAAACGGUCAAGAGUUAAAAAUGAUCUAUUCUGUCUUAUAAAUAAAAUUUGUAUACUUAUUAUUA